AUUGAACGCUGGCGGAAUGCUUUACACAUGCAAGUCGAGCGGCAGCGCGGGGCAACCUGGCGGCGAGCGGCGAACGGGUGAGUAAUGCAUCGGAACGUACCCCGUCGUGGGGGAUAACUACCCGAAAGGGUAGCUAAUACCGCAUACGACCUGAGGGUGAAAGCGGGGGACCGAAAGGCCUCGCGCGAUGGGAGCGGCCGAUGCCGGAUUAGCUAGUUGGUAGGGUAAAGGCCUACCAAGGCGACGAUCCGUAGCUGGUCUGAGAGGACGACCAGCCACACUGGAACUGAGACACGGUCCAGACUCCUACGGGAGGCAGCAGUGGGGAAUUUUGGACAAUGGGCGAAAGCCUGAUCCAGCCAUUCCGCGUGAGUGAAGAAGGCCUCGGUUGUAAGAC
rnacentral:rRNA from 1 species